GAUCCUGGCUCAGGACGAACGCUGGCGGCGUGCCUAACACAUGCAAGUCGAGCGGAGAAAUCCGAGCGGAAGUUUUCGGACGGAAGCAUGGAUUUUUUAGCGGCGGACGGGUGAGUAACGCGUGGGCAAUCUGCCUUUCACAGGGGGAUAACACAGGGAAACUUGUGCUAAUACCGCAUAACGCUGCACUGUGGCAUCACAGAGCAGACAAAGGAGCAAUCCGGUGAAAGAGGAGCCCGCG
rnacentral:rRNA from 1 species